GGGCGAUGUGAUGUGGAUGAAAGGGCCCUUAACUUUUUUUGCUAAAUUCACCAAGGGCUCUAUGAUGUUCCAAAAGCAAUCUUUGCCUCAGCCCUGGCGUUUCUCUUCUUGGCUGUCCAGAAGGAGGUUGUGCUUCUCCCUAGUGGAGGAACCUCUAACAUACCUGCAGUCAUCCAGUCCCAAAGCUCUAGGCAGCAAUGGACCACCAUUCCAUGGGUCCUCUACUGUAACACAGAUCUCCUGGAUGUGCAAGUGACAUUCUCCAUCUUCUUUUCACCUGGUGUGUGAAUAAUGGGGUGUGAAGAAAGAAAGCAAAAUAUUCUCAUGUCUGUCCUUAACAUCAUAGGAACCUGAUCUUUCUACUGGAAGAAGGAGUCUCUCCACAUAUCCACCACAGCUGGGAUUGUGCUGGGUCAUAUCUGAAGCUAGCACACAUCUAAGUCUCAUCCAAGGCCCACACCUGGUAAGAAAAAUCCACAUCGUGACACGGAAGAGAUGGAGGAAGAAGAGAAAACAAAAGCUUCUUGUGGCUCCAGGCGUUCUUUGAUUCUCCUUGGCUUGUGGCUGCAUCACUGAUUUCCGCUUCCGUGUUCAUGUGGCUCUUCUUCCGCGUGUCUUCUCCUUUCUCUUACAAGGACACUUCGUUGCAUUCAGGGCCCACUCAGGUAAUUCAGGAUGAUCUCAUGCCAAGACCCCUAAUCUAAUUACAUCUACAAAGAUCCCUUAUCCAAGUAAGGUCACCUUCACGGGUUCUGGGAAUUAGGAUUUAGGCAUAUCUUUUGGGGAGCCAUCAUUCAAUGCACGACAUAAUCUAAACAGACUCCAGUUUUCUCAGCUUUAACAGAGACAAUCAAUCAAAUAAGUUUUUGAUUUAAUUUAAAAAUAAAAACAGUAUUUCUGUCUCUCAGAAUAAUUCUGCAGCCCAGUUCUUAGAGCAAAUUACAGUUAGAUUUAAAAGAAUGCUUUUCUUCUCAUUUUAAAGAUUUCUCUUUAAAAAUUGUUAAAAUGACCUAACAUUUUAAAAGACGGAAAAGUAAUUGUAAUAUCAAAAACUUAACACAACUACAUAUUUAUACAAAUGCCUUUAUAAUCUUUGUGUAUAUGUGUGUAUAUAUACAUGUGAAUGUAUAAAUACAUACUUGUAAUCAUGAUGUACUUAACAACUGCAGAUUGUGUUUAAUCUUAGCAUAUUAAAUAAGUUUUUUCAAUGUUUUAACGUAUGUUUUAAUUUACCACUUUUUAAUUUUUUAAUCUUAAUGAUUUAAGAAAGUAUUAGUCAUUGUAGAAAAUACAAAUAAACUAAAAGAAAAAUGAAUCACCUGAAAUUCUUUUAAAAAAGAAAGCCAAUCUGGAGACACAUACAUCUGUUUUGUUUUGUUUUGUUUUGUUUUUUGAGACGGAGUCUCGCUCUGUGGCCAGCCGGGAGUGCAGUGGAGCGAUCUCAGCUAACUGCAGGCUCCCUCUCCUGGGUUCAAGUGAUUCUCUUGCUUCAGCCUCUUGAGUAGCUGGUAUUACAGGCAUGCGGCCCCACACCCAGAUAAUUUUUGUAUUUUUAGUAGAGACGGGGUUUCACCAUGUUGGCCAGGAUGGUCUCAAUCUCCUGACCUUGUGAUCCACCUGCCUCGGCCUCCCAAAGUACUGGGAUUACAGGCGUGAGCCACUGCACCCAGCCUCUGUAUUUUUUAAUUUAAUUAUAUCUUCAUGUUUGUAUGAAUCUAUAUCUGUAGCUGUAUCUACAUUUAUUUAGUUUUGGCUAUAACCCCAUUUCAGGAACUAGUUGACUAAAAAAUAAACUUCUAUUGUUUUUGAAUUAUUACAUAUUUUGUGGUCUUUUAAAAAGUACUGCAACCUCCUCUAUGAAUGAAUACACUUGUUUUUAUAAGUUUUGAAACAUAUUGUUGAAUGACAUUUCUCAAAGCCUAAGCACAGAUGAUAAUCCCUACUGCUUCUUAACCAAGAUUAUAAUGACAAUCUUAGAAUCAAAUGUUAUCAAUUUUAAUAUUUAUUAGAGAAUGUCUGACAACACUUUCUAGAGAUUCUCUUAUUUUAUCAUGUUGCCAAUUUUCCUAAAAAGUGUUAAGUGAGAUUGUUAAGGCUACAAUGGAUGCAAAUAAUGUUAAUACUAUAAUGAAUGCAAAAUUAUUAAUUUAACCAUUCUUCCAUCAUUAAACCUUGUAUAUAUUUCUAAUUUUUUAUUGUUAUGUUUAUACAUAUUGAUUUCUCUGCAGCUAAAUUAUUCAGUUACAUAAAUUUCCCAGAAAUGUGGGUAUUCAGGGAAAUUGUGGAAAUAAAUCUAGUCUUCAUACAGAUUGCAGUUUGCCUUUUAUAAGGGUUAUAUGAAGACAGUUUCAUCAGAGUAUAAGAGUAAACCGGUUUUACCUCAAGUUCAUUAUCAUUGUUGUAUUUUGAUAUUAACAUCAGUAUUUUUAAUAUAAAAGUAAUAGAAUUCCACCAUAAGAUUAGUUUAAUUGCAUUGCUUCUGUCUCAGAAUUGAAGUUUAUAUAAGUUCCUAAAUAGCUUUAAACUCAUUUAAUGUAAUUUAUUUUUGUCUACUUAUUUUUGGG
rnacentral:lncRNA from 1 species